UACGUAGGGAGCAAGCGUUGUCCGGAAUCAUUGGGCGUAAAGCGCGCGUAGGUGGUCCCGUAAGUCCGCUGUGAAAGUCAAAGGCUCAACCUUUGAAAGCCGGUGGAUACUGUGGGACUAGAGUACGGAAGAGGCGAGUGGAAUUCCUGGUGUAGCGGUGGAAUGCGCAGAUAUCGGGAAGAACACCCGUGGCGAAGGCGGCUCUCUGGGACGGUACUGACGCUGAGACGCGAAAGCGUGGGGAGCGAACAGG
rnacentral:rRNA from 1 species